CAUGCUGUUGGAGGAUGAUGCCUGAGAGUGAUCCAUCGGCAGAGUGCCUGACACAGUGGUGAAACUCAAGCGACUGACAAAGCACA